rnacentral:lncRNA from 1 species
GAUGAUAUUUACCGCUUAUUGCCCAUGUGGGGGGCUUUAUUUGAUAUUAUUGGCCUUUUAUAUGAAUUUGUUGCAUUCUUUAAGAUAGAAAUUUUCAAGUUAGGGUUAAUAUGGUAUUAUUGACGUCUUCCAUGUAUAUUUAUGGUACACUGCUUAUACUAAAGCAUGAAUGGUUGACAUAUUAAGUAGAUUUUGAGCUCACGUAUACUUGUAUUGAGUAGGUUCGG